CAGGCGUCCUCACAAGUAACCUGCAUUCAGAGAGUUCCGCCACAGGGCGGAGCACCCCGAUUUCGGGGCCAUAGCUCAGCUGGGAGAGCACCUGCUUUGCAAGCAGGGGGUCGUCGGUUCGAUCCCGACUGGCUCCACCAGAUUUGCAGAUCCCUCUGCAAACCUCUGCAUUUGCGUGUGCGGACGGUCUCAGGGACCUGCAAGAGCCAAGACUUUGGGUCUGUAGCUCAGGUGGUUAGAGCGCACCCCUGAUAAGGGUGAGGUCGGUGGUUCGAGUCCUCCCAGACCCACCAAUCUGAAUGUAAGAAGCACACUAAGAAUUUAAGAUGCGCCAGCACUGAGGCUGGGGUAUGUUCUUUUAAAAUUUGUGACGUAGCGAGCGUUUGAGAUCAAACUAUCUUGACGUGUCGUUGUGGCUAAGGCGGGGACCUCGAGUCCCUAGAAAUUGAGUCGUUAUAGUUCGCGUCCGGGCGUUGUACCCCCGGACUCAGCAUGACCUCGAGGCAACUUGAGGUUAUAUGGUCAAGCGAAUAAGCGCACACGGUGGAUGCCUUGGCGGUCAGAGGCGAUGAAGGACGUGGCAGCCUGCGAAAAGUGUCGGGGAGCUG
rnacentral:misc_RNA from 1 species